rnacentral:ncRNA from 1 species
CACCACCCGUCGCUCCUACCGAUUGAAUGAUUUGGUGAAAUCUUCGAAUCGCGGUGACGUGGGCGGUUCGCUGCCAGCGACGUCACGAGAAAUCCAUUUAACCUUAUUAUUUAGAGCAAGGAGAAUUCGUUACAAGGUUUCCAUAGGUGAACCUGCGGAAG